UACGGGGGGAGCAAGCGUUGUUCGGAUUUACUGGGCGUAAAGGGCGCGUAGGCGGUCAGUGCAAGUCAGUUGUGAAAUCUCCGGGCUUAACUCGGAACGGUCAACUGAUACUGCUCGACUAGAGUGCGGAAGGGGCAACUGGAAUUCUUGGUGUAGCGGUGAAAUGCGUAGAUAUCGGGAGGAAUACCUAUGGCGAAAGCAGGCUACUGGACCGUCACUGACUCUGAUCUGCGAAAGCUAGGGGAGCAAACAGG
rnacentral:rRNA from 1 species